CCCUUAGAUGUCCUGGGCUGCACGCGCGCUACACUGAUGUGUCCAGUAAGCACCUAACCUCUUCCGAAAGGAACGGGUAACCUUUGCAAAGCACAUCGUGAUGGGGAUAGAUUAUUGCAAUUAUUAGUCUUGAACGAGGAAUUCCUAGUAAGCACAAGUCAUCAGCUUGUGUUGAUUACGUCCCUGCCCUUUGUACACACCGCCCGUCGCUCCUACCGAUUGAAUGCUCCGGUGAGCUCUUCGGACUGCGCGGUCUGCAGUUUCUGCGUUCCGUGCGGAAAGUUGCGCAAACCUUAACAUUUAGAGGAAGGAGAAGUCGUAACA
rnacentral:rRNA from 1 species